rnacentral:rRNA from 1 species
AUGUUAUUGGCUACAAACAUCAUUGCACCAAUUGAUCCAAAGUUUAGAAAUGUGCAUGAGAAACAGCAAGACCCUAUGUUCUUUCCUUACUUCAAUGGUUGCAUUGGUGCUAUAGAUGGGACACACGUACUUGUCACCGUGCCAGCUAAAGAUAUGAUUAACGGUUGACAUGGUUAUUCAUCACAAAAUGUGAUGGCCGUAUGAGACUUGGACAUGAGAUACACUUCUGUAGUGGUUGGAUGGCCUGGUUCGGCACAUAACACAAGGAUAUUCAAGGACACAUUGGACAAGUACAAAGAAAAAUUCCUACGACAGAUAUUUCUUUAA